rnacentral:rRNA from 1 species
AUUGAACGCUGGCGGCAUGCCUUACACAUGCAAGUCGAACGGCAGCGGGGACUUCGGUCCGCCGGCGAGUGGCGAACGGGUGAGUAAUGUAUCGGAACGUACCUUUCAGUGGGGGAUAACGUAGCGAAAGUUACGCUAAUACCGCAUAUUCUGUGCGCAGGAAAGCAGGGGAUCGCAAGACCUUGCGCUGAUUGAGCGGCCGAUAUCAGAUUAGCUAGUUGGUGGGGUAAAGGCCUACCAAGGCGACGAUCUGUAGCGGGUCUGAGAGGAUGAUCCGCCACACUGGAACUGAGACACGGUCCAGACUCCUACGGGAGGCAGCAGUGGGGAAUUUUGGACAAUGGGGGGCAACCCUGAUCCAGCCAUGCCGCGUGAGUGAAGAAGGCCU